rnacentral:lncRNA from 1 species
GUGAGCUCAUCCCAACGGUUGAUCUGCAGCUGCCUGUGGUGAUGCUGGUGCGAAUCUGGCUUCAAACUUUGAGGAGAAGAGGAAUUAAAUGCUUGGCGAACUGUUAACUCAGCGGUGCGCUCUGUAGGGAAGGGAAAGUAGGAGCUGCUUUUUAUGCUGGUUUGGUGUUUUGUUUUUUUUAAAUUCAGAAUUAGUCCCAGCUCGCUCUUAAAAUGGUACACUGGUUUAAUUCACCUGAAUAAACAGUUGGAACAAACCGUUGUUAGCGCUGCAGCCCUGGGCUGGGAAAGGGGCUUGGAAGCAGAAGGUGAGGAGAUGCCCCCCAGGCCCAUGAGCGGGGGCAGAAUCCAACCCAUGGAAACAGACCAAGGCUCUGGUAGCCAAGUCGAAAGCAUCUCGUCGAGUUCUGGAAAGGAAACAGGCCUCGGUCACUUUCACACAGACAAGAUCCUCUCAGCCACGCACCAAGCAAACCACCAUCUCUGCCUUCUUCAGCUCCCAGACAGAUGAUAAAGAAAACUCCAGGCUGUCUCCUUUCAUCCCAAAAUGUAAAGAAAAAGGUAUUUCUUUGGCUGCUUCCCCUGUGAAGAUCUUGGCUUUGCCGCAGAUGGAGGAAGGCCGUAAGGAAUCGUUCAGCACCGAGGUGGGGACGGCGCGGGCUGCGCCGCGGUGUCCUGCUCCGUCCCCUUUGCCGGACUCUUCGGUGUUAGAAGGGGAGUCCUGUGGCACGAGCGAAGCCUCCUGUGGGGUGGGAGAGGAUUCCUGCUUCUUCAGCUUCACCCAGGACUCGGAGGGCAACCGCAUCAUCGCUCACAGAAACGCAUCUGAUUUAUUUGCUGGAGAAACAGUUUCGGUGAGCAGCAAACGAGGGGGGAGGCUGCUCCCAGAGGAGACAAUUGGACUCGAUUUCCAACCCAGACUCGGUGCAAACGAGAAGAAGAAACCACACCCAUCGAGUAGCAUUAAUUCUUUCACUGAUUUCACUGAGACUGAGAAUACAAAUCCUACUCUGAGGAGAGACAGCACCUGUGCUGCUGGCUUUUAUCCCUCUCCCCAGAGAUCGGCCAGAGCGCAGCCCCUGAGAGAACGCAACCACAACGUGGGGGCUGGAUCAGCCCAGGAGGGACGGGGCAGUCCCUGCAGGGAGCUCUUCACCCAGGACUCCCAGGGGAACAGGGUGAUCGCUCACCGUGCCCAGACCCUUCCAUCCCCCUCCAAGGGCUGCUCCGGCAACGGGAGCUUGAGCGAAGCUGAGGAGCACAAGUUGGACACAUGCUACGAUUUACUGUUCACACAGGAUUCAGAAGGGAACAGAGUGAUUAAACACUGGUGUUGCCAUUAAGCUGUCUUUACUCUUCCCUGGGGCCAGCAUUUACUGUGGACCAAAGUGGAGCUGUGUCAUAGGCCAGGAGUGACCUGCUGCUACACCCUUACACCCAGGGACCCCUUCUCCACAGGCAGGUGUAUCCCCACCACAGCGUUACACAGAGCAGCCUUUUUGGGACACAGAGAGGCUGAUGGUACCAUCCAGAGGCUCUUGGUGUGCUCCCGAGGGGGGGAGAGCUGCAACAACUCCCUGUAAAGCUGAUUAAGUUGUAAAUGCUGUUUCUGAUGGGUGGCCAGAGGCAACACAAGCCUCUGCUCUAAGGUGGGGGGGUGACUUUAAUUUUUUUCAAGGGCUGAGGGCCUGGAGGAUUAAGAAAAUCCUUGGCAUUGAGCGUGUUCAUUUGCAGCACCAGCAGCAGCUGAAAUGCCCCCACCCUCCCCAGAACCCCGCUGCUGACACGCUUGGACGCUGCAAGGACAACCACCAACAAUCUCAAGGACAACCACUGUCUUAUUAAGGCUCCAUUUUAUAUAAAGGAAAAAAAAAAAACCAAACAUACUUUAAAUACAGCCAUGAGGAACAUUGCAGAGGACGUGUAGCUGAAGGAAACCUCUUCAGUCAGUGAGAACUGCGGCCGGUGCCAAGGUCCUUCUUCCCUUCGCUGGGGUGGGUGCUGGGUUCCUAGCAUGGGUGGUUCAAUAAAUAGACCUUUUGAAGGCUAAAUAAAAUACA